GUAUUUAUUCCCCAUCAGCCAUUCAUUAUGCUUGCUGGCAGAGGGCAUAACCUUGAGUGAGGCACACUAUGAAAUGUCAGAAGCCUAUUUCCGCAACAGCUUGGAGAUGGAUGUGAAAUGAACUGCAGAUUCUGAGCGCAGUUUUACAAGCACAACUUGAGUCUGAGUUCUAGCUACUGCCCAGUUGUGUGACCUUGGCCAACACUGUGUUAGAUUAAUGGAAUCCUCACCGAAGUCCUCCGUCGAUUUGUGAGUUUGUAAGUAGAAGAGAAUUAAUUAAAUAACGAAAGAGUACAGAUGUCAAAAUUUGUAUUGUAUAAGCAACAGUUCUGCUAGGUAGAAUGUAUCAGGCAUCUUGCUUAACAAAUCCUUACAACAAAGGUUAAGAUACUCCGGGCCACUAAAAGCAACAGGGAGCUGUUGAUG